rnacentral:rRNA from 1 species
CCUACGGGAGGCAGCAGUGAGGAAUAUUGGUCAAUGGACGAGAGUCUGAACCAGCCAAGCCGCGUGAAGGAUGACUGCCCUAUGGGUUGUAAACUUCUUUUAUAUGGGAAUAACACACGGUAUGCAUACCCUCAUGUACGUACCAUAUGCAUAAGGAUCGGCUAACUCCGUGCCAGCAGCCGCGGUAAUACGGAGGAUCCGAGCGUUAUCCGGAUUUAUUGGGUUUAAAGGGUGCGUAGGUGGAUUGUUAAGUCAGUUGUGAAAGUUUGCGGCUCAACCGUGUAAUUGCAGUUGAAACUGGCAGUCUUGAUUGCAGUAGAGGUAGGCGGAAUUCGUGGUGUAGCGGUGAAAUGCUUAGAUAUCA